AACAAACGCUGGCGGCAUGCCUAACACAUGCAAGUCGAACGAGACCUUCGGGUCUAGUGGCGCACGGGUGCGUAACGCGUGGGAACCUGCCCUUAGGUUCGGAAUAACUCCCCGAAAGGGGUGCUAAUACCGGAUAAUGUCUUCGGACCAAAGAUUUAUCGCCUUUGGAUGGGCCCGCGUUGGAUUAGCUAGUUGGUAGGGUAAAAGCCUACCAAGGCGACGAUCCAUAGCUGGUCUGAGAGGAUGAUCAGCCACACUGGGACUGAGACACGGCCCAGACUCCUACGGGAGGCAGCAGUGGGGAAUAUUGGACAAUGGGCGAAAGCCUGAUCCAGCAAUGCCGCGUGAGUGAUGAAGGCCUUAGGGUUGUAAAGCUCUUUUACCCGGGAUGAUAAUGACAGUACCGGGAGAAUAAGCGCCGGCUAACUCCGUG
rnacentral:rRNA from 1 species